rnacentral:rRNA from 1 species
UAGAGUUUGAUCCUGGCUCAGGAUGAACGCUAGCGGCACGCUUCAUACAUGCAAGUCGAGGGGCAGCAUAAAUUACUUGUAAUUUGAUGGCGACCGGCGAACGGGUGCGUAACGCGUAUGCAACUUACCUUUUACUAGAGAAUAGCCAAGAGAAAUUUUGAUUAAUGCUCUAUACUCUUAUUAACUCACAUGAGUUUUUAAGAAAAGCUCCGGCGGUAAAAGAUGGGCAUGCGUCCUAUUAGCUUGUAGGUGAGGUAACGGCUCACCUAAGCUCCGAUAGGUAGGGGUCCUGAGAGGGAGAUCCCCCACACUGGUACUGAGACACGGACCAGACUUCUACGGAAGGCAGCAGUAAGGAAUAUUGGACAAUGGAGGAAACUCUGAUCCAGCGAUGCCGCGUGAAGGAAGACGGCCCUAUGGGUUGUAAAC